GAUGAACGCUAGCGGGAGGCCUAACACAUGCAAGCCGAGCGGUAUUCUGGAUUUAUUCAGGAGAGAGCGGCGUACGGGUGCGUAACACGUGUGCAACCUACCUUUAUCAGGAGAAUAGCCUUUCGAAAGGAAGAUUAAUACUCCAUAAUAUCUUAUCAGGCAUCUGAUUAGAUUGAAAACUCCGGUGGAUAGAGAUGGGCACGCGCAAGAUUAGAUAGUUGGUGAGGUAACGGCUCACCAAGUCAUUGAUCUUUAGGGGUCCUGAGAGGGAGAUCCCCCACACUGGUACUGAGACACGGACCAGACUCCUACGGGAGGCAGCAGUGAGGAAUAUUGGACAAUGGGUGAGAGCCUGAUCCAGCCAUCCCGCGUGAAGGAUGACGGUCCUACGGAUUGUAAACUUCUUUUGUACAGGGAUAAACCUCUCUACGUGUAGAGAGCUGAAGGUACUGUACGAAUAAGCACCGGCUAACUCCGUG
rnacentral:rRNA from 1 species